rnacentral:rRNA from 1 species
UCGGGGUUAGUGGCGGACGGGUGAGUAACACGUGGGAACGUGCCUUUAGGUUCGGAAUAAGCUCGGGAAACUGGGUCUAAUACCGAAUGUGCCCUUCGGGGGAAAGAUUUAUCGCCUUUAGAGCGGCCCGCGUCUGAUUAGCUAGAUGGUGGGGUAAAGGCCUACCAUGGCGACGAUCUGUAGCUGGUCUGAGAGGAUGAUCAGCCACACCGGGACUGAGACACGGCCCGGACUCCUACGGGAGGCAGCAGUGGGGAAUAUUGGACAAUGGGGGAAACCCUGAUCCAGCCAUGCCGCGUGUGUGAAGAAGGCCUUUUGGUUGUAAAGCACUUUAAGCAGUGAAGAAGACUCUUCGGUUAAUACCCGGAGACGAUGACAUUAGCUGCAGAAUAAGCACCGGCUAACUCUGUGCCAGCAGCCGCGGUAAUACAGAGGGUGCAAGCGUUAAUCGGAAUUACUGGGCGUAAAGGGAGCGUAGGUGGCUCGAUAAGUCAGAUGUGAAAUCCCCGGGCUCAACCUGGGA